GUUCAGACAGUCAACAUCUGGUGCAUCAUUACCUGUAGGAGGGAGAGAUGGAGGGAUGAAAUGGAGAUCAUGAUCCCCUGGUUACCCAAGUGGAUGUGAGCUUUAAGGUAAAUAAAACAAAACGUUGGCAUUUUAAUAUGACCCUUCUUCAAAACUAAUUGUUUGUGGCUGAAUUUCAAUUUGCAUUUUUAGAAAAAACACAAGGACUCUAGAGGACCCCAGGUUUACAUGGAUGGCUACUACAGGGUUUAUCACAGACUUUACAUCUGACCUCAAUAAAGCCAGGAAUCACAGAAUCAAGUUAUUGGAGAAAACAUUUAAAAUCACUUCAACAAAACCUGAAAAGGAAUUACUCAAAAAUGUCAGCAAUGAUUUGAGGGUUUUUAAACUGGACCUGAAUGGUUUAUUAAGGAGGAGAGCAGAGUUCAUCAUGCAUAGAGUGAGGCAGAACUAUCAUUUUAAAGGGAGCAAACCAAGCAGGCUUCUAGCAUUAACAUUCAAACAAAGUGAAUCUUGUACUUCUAUAAAAUCUAUUCAUUCCCUGUUGUUACGGAUACAGUUAUCCUGUGUGUGUGUUUCUUUUCUCUCCUUCUCCCCUCACAGGUGAAAAUCAUCACCCCCAAUCAGUCAACAAUCAAUCAUCAAUCAGAAGACACACCUCCUCCUAUUUCCUAACCUAUCACAGUUCCUUCCCCAUGGUUUAAAAACCCCAUCAUUUGUUUGUUCUAGAGCUCAAUCUCUCUGUAAAUGCCAUGUCUGUAGGUCUCUGUGUUUCACUCUCGCUUUGUGUCUUAACCUCUCUUUUGUUUAAGCACCUCAUAGCACUUUGUCAUCACCUGUGAGUAUUGUUUUUGGUUAUGGUGUUUGUUUGUUGCUGAUGGGAAAAGGGGGAAACCAAGACAAGUCGCCCAUGGGCAUACACUACCCGUAGGUGAACUUUGUUAAAUACACUAGUUAGAACUGGGCGGACCACCCACUGUAUUUUUGGUUAGUUAGUUAGCUGUUGUUAAAGUAGGCUAGUCUAGCUUAGGGGUGUUUUUCAAUACUUAUUGUUUCUUUCCUUGGGUCCAGCUCAGCCCCUUUUCCUGCUCCCCCCAUUACCGUGUGUUUAUAAAUAAACCUGGAGUUUGACGGUA